CAUUUAUUAUUUAACCUCGCUGUCUGCGUGUUGUUUGUUAUCUAUGUAAAUAACAUUUUUUAAUAUAGAUAUUAUUUUGGAUUCUGUCCAACAGGUAGAGAAAUACCUAUUACCUACUCGUUACUCGCCAUACCUAGUACCUAUCAUUCUAGCAACUCGAUACAAUUUCCGUUCGUUUCCACUUUACAAGACUUGAAGACGUACUCAGGCAUAUACCUAAUCAAUAAUGUAUUUUUUAAUAAUUAAAUAUAGGUUACCUACGUAUAUAAUAAUUUCAGAUUUGUAACAGUUUUCUCGCACGAAUCAUCGCGGAUCAUGUUAUUAUCGUCUUCGACGACUUUCUAUUGUAAUAUUGGACAGCCGAACGGGUGCGAAUGGCUGAUUCAAUUCAGUUAUA